rnacentral:lncRNA from 1 species
CAUGGAUGGACACAACACGUACAGCGUUACUUCCAAAGGGGGUGGGAUCAGUGCUGGCGGUCUCAGUGCCAUCAACCAGAACGCCAUGGUCCUGCAGGGAAACUGCCAAGAAUACCUGAAGAAUGCGGAAUAUGCCAUUCAAAGUGGUAAUUCAGGAGAUGCAGAGCAUUUUAUGGCAAUGGCCAGAGACAUGAUUGACCAGCUGAAGAGCUGUGCGACGGACCUGAGAACGAUGGGUCAUCCCAAUGACAAUGUAGUGAGGACCUUGGAGAUAUGCAAGGAUCAGCUGAAGGGGGUCCACAUGGCCUUAACCGGCUCCAUGCGCAGGAGAAAGAGCACCAGGGCAGGGAGCACCAGGGCAGGGAGCAACAGCAGCGCUGCUGCAGCAGGAGGGGCGUGG